UACGUAGGUGGCAAGCGUUGUCCGGAUUUAUUGGGCUUAAAGGGUGCGUAGGCGGUCCUGUAAGUCAGCUGUGAAAUAUCCCAGCUUAACUGGGAGGGUGGCAUUGAUACUGCGGGGCUAGAGUACAGAUGAGGUAGGCGGAAUUGACGGUGUAGCGGUGAAAUGCUUAGAUAUCGUCAAGAACACCUAUAGCGAAGGCAGCUUACUAGGCUGUAACUGACGCUGAGGCACGAAAGUGUGGGGAUCAAACAGG
rnacentral:rRNA from 1 species